rnacentral:rRNA from 1 species
GACGAACGCUGGCGGCGUGCCUAACACAUGCAAGUUGAGCGACGAACCAGGGCUUGCCCUGGGGCAAAGCAGCGAACGGGUGAGUAACACGUGGGUAACCUGCCCCGAUGACCGGGACAACCCGAGGAAACUCGAGCUAAUACCGGAUGUGGCCACUGGACUCAAGUCCGGUUGUCAAAGGAAGCUUCGGCCUCCGCAUUGGGA